UGGCAUGGGUAGUACUAGAUAGUGCUGUCGACCUCUCAAUGUAUUAGGUUUAUCCAACUCGUUGAAUGGUGUGGCGGGAUAUUUCUGGUAUUGUUGGCCCGGCCUUACAACAACCAAACAAGUUUGACCUCAAAUCAGGUAGGAAUACCCGCUGAACUUAAGCAUAUCAAUAAGCGGAGGAAAAGAAACCAACAGGAUUGCCUUAGUAGCGGCGAGUGAAGCGGCAAAAGCUCAAAUUUGAAAUCUGGCGCCUUCGGUGUCCGAGUUGUAAUUUGAAGAUUGUAACCUUGGGGUUGGCUCUUGUCUAUGUUUCUUGGAACAGGACGUCACAGAGGGUGAGAAUCCCGUGCGAUGAGAUGCCCAAUUCUAUGUAAGGUGCUUUCGAAGAGUCGAGUUGUUUGGGAAUGCAGCUCUAAGUGGGUGGUAAAUUCCAUCUAAAGCUAAAUAUUGGCGAGAGACCGAUAGCGAACAAGUACAGUGAUGGAAAGAUGAAAAGAACUUUGAAAAGAGAGUGAAAAAGUACGUGAAAUUGUUGAAAGGGAAGGGUUUGAGAUCAGACUCGAUAUUUUGUGAGCCUUGCCUUCGUGGCGGGGUGACCCGCAGCUUAUCGGGCCAGCAUCGGUUUGGGCGGUAGGAUAAUGGCGUAGGAAUGUGACUUUACUUCGGUGAAGUGUUAUAGCCUGCGUUGAUGCUGCCUGCCUAGACCGAGGACUGCGAUUUUAUCAAGGAUGCUGGCAUAAUGAUCCCAAACCGCCCGUCUUGAAACACGGACCAAGGAGUCUAACGUCUAUGCGAGUGUUUGGGUGUUAAACCCG
rnacentral:rRNA from 1 species